rnacentral:rRNA from 1 species
CUACGGGACGCUGCAGUGGGGAAUAUUGCACAAUGGAGGAAACUCUGAUGCAGCAACGCCGCGUGGAGGAUGACACUUUUCGGAGCGUAAACUCCUUUUAUAUAGGAAGAAGAUGACGGUACUAUAUGAAUAAGCGCCGGCUAACUCCGUGCCAGCAGCCGCGGUAAUACGGAGGGCGCAAGCGUUACUCGGAAUCACUGGGCGCAAGAGCGUGUAGGCGGAUUAAAAAGUCAGAAGUGAAAUACUAUAGCUUAACUAUAGAACCGCUUCUGAAACUCUUAAUCUAGAAUAUGGGAGAGGUAGAUGGAAUUUCUGGUGUAGGGGUAAAAUCCGUAGAGAUCAGAAGGAAUACCGAUUGCGAAGGCGAUCUACUAGAACAUUAUUGACGCUGAGACGCGAAAGCGUGGGGAGCAAACAGGAUUAGAUACCCUUGUAGUC